GAGACGCUGGCGGCGUGCCUAACACAUGCAAAGUGAACGGAGAGGACAUGAAGUAUUUCGGUACGGAAUGCUCUCUUAGUGGCGAACGGGUGAGUAACACGUGGGCAACCUGCCCCAGACUGGGGGAUAACAUUGUGAAAACAGUGCUAAUACCGCAUGACAGGGUUCCGGGCAUCCGGGACCCUUGAAAGGAGAAAUCCGGUCAGGGAUGGGCCCGCGUCCAAUUAGCUAGUUGGCGGGGUAACGGCCCACCAAGGCGACGAUUGGUAGCCGAACUGAGAGGUUGAUCGGCCACAUUGGGACUGAGACACGGCCCAGACUCCUACGGGAGGCAGCAGUGGGGAAUAUUGGGCAAUGGGCGAAAGCCUGACCCAGCGACGCCGCGUGAAGGAUGAAGGUCUUCGGAUUGUAAACUUCUUUGAUCAGGGAAGAAAGAAAUGACGGUACCUGAAAAACAAGCCACGGCUAACUACGUG
rnacentral:rRNA from 1 species